rnacentral:snRNA from 1 species
ACUAAAUACCAAAAAGAGGCCAAU